rnacentral:rRNA from 1 species
GCUGACCUCGAAUCAGGUAGGACUACCCGCUGAACUUAAGCAUAUCAAUAAGCGGAGGAA